GAUAACUGGGAGUACUCUCAGAUCUGUUCAUUGUGUCUUGUUGUGUCGGGAUGUAUAAGUACCCGGCCACGUCCACUUGUAUUUUUUGUCUGUCUGAUGAGUUAAGCCUUUUUCAACUGAUUUUUAUAGUUCGUUCUUAUGUUGUACUGUUAUACCACUGUCCCAGGAUAGGGGGAGGGUUGGGAUCCCACUAACAUGUUUAACCCCGCCAUAUUAUUUAUGUAUGUGCCUGUCCCAAGUCAGGAGCCUGUAAUUCAGUGGUUGUCGUUUGUUUAUGUGUUACAUAUUUGUUUUUCGUUCAUUUUUUUUACAUAAAUAAGGCCGUUAGUUUUCUCGUUUGAAUUGUUUUACAUUGUCUUAUCGGGGCCUUUUAUAGCUGACUAUAUGCGGUAUGGGCUUUGCUCAUUGUUGAAGGCCGAACGGUGACCUAUAGUUGUUAAUGUCUGUGUCAUUUUGUCUUUUGUGGAUAGUUG
rnacentral:lncRNA from 1 species